GAUAAAGAACGCAGCGAAAUGCGAUAAGUAAUGCGAAUUGCAGAAUUCCAGUGAGUCAUCGAAUCUUUGAACGCACAUUGCGCCCUUUGGUAUUCCGAAGGGCAUGCCUGUUCGAGCGUCAUUAUCACCCCUCAAGCCCUCGGCUUGGUGUUGGACGGUUUGGUGGAGGCCCCCUCGGGGGCUCCUGCCCCUCCCAAAGACAAUGACGGCGGCCUCGUUGGACCCCCGGUACACUGAGUUCUUCACGGGACACGUAUCGGACACAUGGGUUUACGGGACACGGUCUGCCUCCCCUCAGGGAGAAUCUUUCUAAGGUUGACCUCGGAUCAGGUAGGGAUACCCGCUGAACUUAAGCAUAUCAAUAAGCGGAGGA
rnacentral:misc_RNA from 1 species